rnacentral:rRNA from 1 species
AUCAACUUUCGAUGGUAGGAUAGAGGCCUACCAUGGUGGUAACGGGUAACGGGGUGUUAGGGCACGACACCGGAGAGGGAGCCUGAGAAACGGCUACCACAUCCAAGGAUGGCAGCAGGCGCGCAAAUUACCCAAUCCCGACACGGGGAGGUAGUGACAAUAAAUAACAAUACGGGGUUCUUUAGGAUCUCGUAAUUGGAAUGAGUACAAUUUAAAUCUCUUAACGAGGAACAAUUGGAGGGCAAGUCUGGUGCCAGCAGCCGCGGUAAUUCCAGCUCCAAUAGCGUAUAUUAAAGUUGUUGCAGUUAAAAAGCUCGUAGUUGAAUUUCGGGGUUAGUAGGUUGGUCAUGCCUCUGGUAUGUACUGGUCUCACUGAUUCCUCCUUCCUUAUGAACCGUAAUGCCAUUAAUUUGGUGUUGCGGGGAAUUUGGACUGUUACUUUGAAAAAAUUAGAGUGUUUAAAGCAAGCUAACGCUUGAAUACAUUAGCAUGGAAUAAUGAAAUAGGACGUUCGAUCUUAUUUUGUUGGUUUCUAGGAUUGACGUAAUGAUUAAUAGGGAUAGUUGGGGGCAUUAGUAUUCAAUUGUCAGAGGUGAAAUUCUUGGAUUUAUUGAAGACUAACUACUGCGAAAGCAUUUGCCAAGGAUGUUUUCAUUAAUCAAGAACGAAAGUUAGGGGAUCGAAGACGAUCAGAUACCGUCGUAGUCUUAACCAUAAACUAUGCCGACUAGGGAUCGGAUGAUGUUAAUUUUUUAAUGACUCGUUCGGCGCCUUACGGGAAACCAAAGUGUUUGGGUUC